CGUCGUCGAGGCCGCCCGGCGUGCGGUUGGACAGCCCAUCGAGCACCGCGCCGACCGUCUGCGCGAUCGCGGUGAAGCGAAUGCGGCGCGACAGGAACGCGUCCACGGCGAUUUCGUUCGCCGCAUUGAGCGCCGCGCUCGCGACGCCGCCCGCCUCGAGCGCGUCGAUGGCGAGCGCGAGGCACGGGAAGCGCGCGUAGUCGGGCUUCUCGAACGUGAGCGUCGCGAUCUGCGCGAGAUCGAGCUGCGCGACGCCCGCGUCGACACGCUCGGGAAACGCGAGCGCGUGCGCGAUCGGCGUGCGCAUGUCCGGGUUGCCGAGCUGCGCGAGCACCGAGCCGUCGCGAUACGACACGAGCGAAUGGAUCACGCUCUGCGGAUGGAUCAGCACGUCGAUGUGCUCGCUCGGCAGGCCGAACAGCCAGUGCGCCUCGAUCACCUCGAGGCCCUUGUUCAUCAUCGUCGCGGAAUCGACGGAGAUCUUGCGGCCCAUCACCCAGUUCGGAUGCUUGCACGCCUCGUCGGGCGUCACGCUCGCGAGCGUCGCGGGCUCGCGCGUGCGGAACGGGCCGCCCGACGCGGUCACGAUGAUCUUCGCGAUGCCCCCAUGCUCGGCCGCGUCGCGCGGCAUGCACUGGAAGAUCGCGUUGUGCUCGCUGUCGACGGGCAACAGGAUCGCGCCGUGAUCGCGCACCGCGUCCAUGAAGAUCGCGCCCGACAUCACGAGCGCUUCCUUGUUCGCGAGCAGGAUGCGCUUGCCCGCGCGCGCGGCGGCGAGGCUCGGCGCGAGCCCCGCCGCGCCGACGAUCGCCGCGACGACGGUGUCGCAGCCGUCGCUCUUCGAUACGUCGACGAGCGCCUGCUUGCCGUACGCGACCUGGGUCCGGCUGCCCGCGGCGCGCAAUUGCGCCUCGACCCGCGCGGCGGUUUCGGCGUCGCCGACCACCGCGACGUCCGGCGCAAAGCGCAGGCACUGGGCGACGAGCUUCUCGCCGUUGCGGUGGGCCGUGAGCGCAUGAACCGCGAAGCGUUCCGGAUGACGCGCGACGACGUCGAGCGUGCUGUCUCCGAUCGAGCCCGUCGAACCGAGCAAUGUCAGACGUUUUUGCAUAAUAGGGUCUAGUUUUAACCGAGCAGCAGCAUCGCGAGCGGCAGCACGGGCAGCAGCGCGUCGACGCGGUCGAGCACGCCGCCGUGGCCCGGCAGGAGACCGCUCGAAUCUUUCACGCCGGCCUGGCGCUUGAGCAGCGACUCGAACAGGUCGCCGACCACGCUGAACGCGACGAGCACCGUGAGCGCCGCGAAUGCGCCCGCCGCACCGUACCGCGCGACGAACGUCGAAUAAAGGGUCGGUUCGAAGGCGUGCGCCGCGACAGCCGCGCCGGCGACGAUCAUCACCGCGAGCCAGCCGCCCGCCGCGCCUUCCCAGGUUUUGCCGGGGCUCACCGACGGCGCGAGCUUGUGCUUGCCGAACGCCUUUCCGGCGAAGUAUGCGCCGAUAUCGGCGAGCCAUACCACUACCAACAGCGACAACACGAAGGGUACGCCUUGUGCGCGCGCGGCGACGAGCGCGUGCCAGCACGCCGAGAAGACGACGAGACCCGCGACGAGCAGGAACGGCUUCCACGCGCGCUCGGCGAGCGCGGGCUUGCGCCAGAGCGCGUACGGGCCCGCCAGCAGCCAGAACACCCCCGCGGCCGCGAACAGCGGCCGCGCGGCGGCCGCGCCGAUGCCGAGCCGCGUGCUCGCGCCGAGCGCGAGCGCCGCGACGGCCGCGUACGCGAGCGGGCCCGCGCCGCCCAGCUUCAACAGCCGCCCCCACUCCCACGCGGCGAAUACGAGCGCGAACGCGAUCAGCGCGCCGAACGCGGCGAGCGGCGCGAACAGCGUCACGGGCAGCAGCACCGCCAGCAGCACGACCGCCGUGAUGACACGGGUCUUCAGCAUGAAAGGGAAUCGGCGUCCUGGGCCUGGGGUUCGAGCUGCGCGCUCGUGCGGCCGAAGCGGCGUUCGCGGUGCGUGUACGACGCGAGCGCUUCGGCGAGCGCGCCGGCGUCGAAAUCCGGCCAGAACGUGUCGGUGAAGUAGAACUCGGUAUAGGCGAGCUGCCAGAGCAGGAAAUUGCUGAUGCGCUGCUCGCCGCCCGUGCGGAUGAAGAGAUCCGGCUCGGGCGCAUAGGCCAUCGCCAGAUGGCGGGCGAACGCGUCCUCGUCGAUUUCGGGCGCGCGCCCUUCGCGCGCCGCCUCUUCGACGAGCUUGCGCGUCGCCUGCAGGAUGUCCCAAUGGCCGCCGUAGUUCGCGGCGAUCGUGAGCGUGAGGCGCGUAUUGCGCGCCGUCUUCGUCUCGCCGCGACGAAUCAGCGCCUGGAUGCGCGGCUCGAACUUCGUCAGAUCGCCGACGACGCGCAGCCGGAUGCCGUUCGCGUGCAGCUUGCCGACCUCGCGCUCGAGCGCGGUGAUGAACAGGCGCAUCAGGAACGACACUUCGUCGUUCGGCCGGCGCCAGUUCUCGGAGCUGAACGCGAAGAGCGUCAGAUAUUCGACGCCCGCGCGUGCGCAUCCCUCGACGACCGAGCGCACCGCGUCGACGCCGCGCGUGUGCCCCGCGACGCGCGGCAGGCGGCGCUCGGUCGCCCAACGGCCGUUGCCGUCCAUGAUGAUCGCGAUGUGACGCGGCACGGCGGCGACGUCAGGCACGCGAACGGUAGAGCUGGUAUAGGUCAUGGCCGCUGAGACUGUAGCUGCAGGAAAAAGUGCGACGCAAGGCGGCUUCAGACCGUCAUGAUCUCCGCGUCCUUGGCCUGGACGAGCUUGUCGAUCUCCGCGACGUGCUUGUCCGUCAGCUUCUGCACGUCGUCGCUCGCGCGGCGCUCGUCGUCUUCGGAAAUUUCCUUGU
rnacentral:rRNA from 1 species